rnacentral:rRNA from 1 species
GGGAUAACACUUGGAAACAGGUGCUAAUACCGCAUAACCAUAGUUACCGCAUGGUAACUAUGUAAAAGGUGGCUAUGCUACCGCUUUUGGAUGGGCCCGCGGCGCAUUAGCUAGUUGGUGGGGUAAAGGCUUACCAAGGCAAUGAUGCGUAGCCGAACUGAGAGGUUGAUCGGCCACAUUGGGACUGAGACACGGCCCAAACUCCUACGGGAGGCAGCAGUAGGGAAUCUUCCACAAUGGGCGAAGGCCUGAUGGAGCAACGCCGCGUGGGUGAAGAAGGUCUUCGGAUCGUAAAACCCUGUUGUUAGAGAAGAAAGUGCGUGAGAGUAACUGUUCACGUUUCGACGGUAUCUAACCAGAAAGCCACGGCUAACUACGUGCCAGCAGCCGCGGUAAUACGUAGGUGGCAAGCGUUAUCCGGAUUUAUUGGGCGUAAAGGGAACGCAGGCGGUCUUUUAAGUCUGAUGUGAAAGCCUUCGGCUUAACCGGAGUAGUGCAUUGGAAACUGGGAGACUUGAGUGCAGAAGAGGAGAGUGGAACUCCAUGUGUAGCGGUGAAAUGCGUAGAUAUAUGGAAGAACACCAGUGGCGAAAGCGGCUCUCUGGUCUGUAACUGACGCUGAGGUUCGAAAGCGUGGGUAGCAAACAGGAUUAGAUACCCUGGUAGUCCACGCCGUAAAC